GGGGUUGUGGCUCAGUGUAGAGCACUUGCCUAGCAUGUAUGAGGCACUGGGUUCGAUCCUCAGCACCA
rnacentral:tRNA from 1 species